UUCCUGAAAUCAUGGUGCCAUCAGUGACAUGCACACAAACUGUCAUCACCCUGUUCCACUUAACACCCUGCACCUGCUCCAUAGUAAUGUAACCUACUACAGUCAGCCUCACAGCUCUGUCCUUGCAGUGCCAGAACUCAGUGCAUUUGUACUACUAACAGCAACAUGAGUACUAGGAAAACUGGCUGGUGUGACUCCAAAAGUUUAACAACUCCAUGAUAAUUACAGCUGUGCCUGCUCUGUUGUAAGCCAAACUCUUCAAAAUAUAGGGAAUAUUCAAAGGUAAUGGCCACCGCUGUCCUAUCAAACUGAGUAUUCACUUAUUUUAAUGAAUCCGGGAGACCAGACUUUUCAGAAAUAACCACCCAGGACCCACAAAGAUUUAAAGAGUCCUGCACUCACAGCUUCCUCAGCCUGUUUGUUGUAUGCUUUCACUUUUAACUGCAGCUUGUCCACCAGUUCCUGAAGCCGGAAAAUAUUUUUCUUAUCCUCUUCAGACUGUGAGAAGUGAAAAUAAAGUCAUCCUGGAAAUAUGGACCAAGGUGAUGCACUUAGAAUACAAGAAAGAUACAGAAUAGGGCAGAGGAUUUGAAAUACCUGGUGACCUUGUGAUGAGCUGAACAGGAAGGAAAGUCACCUAACCUGAGUUUUGUGGGAAAACCGUAAGAAACAAAAGCUUGGGAAGAGGCAGAAUUCUGGUACCCCAGAAACAUGGAAGCAUCUUAGCAUGAUAGAUCCCAGCUGAAAGAGAUCUGAGAACUUAUGCUGGAGGUUCUUGUUCUCCCGUCUGACAGUCUCUGCCUGGUCAAGAACUUCUUCAUAGGCAUUCUUCAUCUGGAAUAUCUCAGUGCUGAUGGAGCAAGACUCCUUCUGGGCAGUUUCCAGCUCAGCCUGACUCUCCUGGUACUUCUGCUUCCACUCAGCCGCAACCUGGAGUGACAGGAACCAUUAGAGCAUAAGAAUGGCCCAUUCUUCAAUACUCCUGUCCCUGCACGUAUAUGUAACAAGAACCUUAGAGGCAUAUCAUUGGGUCACAAAAUCUUCUUCAUUGCACAUUCACUGCCUGUGACAAUCAAUUCACUGGGAUACAUACUUCAUCUAUUUCAAGGGCAGCUACUUAUAUUACCCUCUUCAGACAACAGGAGUGUAUGCCCCCACGCUCACAGGCAAUGACUACAGUUCAGAAAUGAUACGGGUUCUGAUGAAUCAACAAAUCUCUGAUCAAAGAGGGAGAAGACUGGAGAAAACUAAGACAGUAUUUAUGAUGACAUUCCCUCAAAUUCCACUGAAUUAGUCUGUUUCAAAGGAUGUGUCUCCAUGAUGUCACCAGAUUUGUCACCUGAGUUUUGGGUUUACUGAAUCCUUAAAUUAACAGACUAAUAACUGAAGACCUACCGUUGCUUAAAGUCUGCAUAAAGGAUUCUGCUUGGAAACCCCUUCCUGCAAAUUCAGAUGCCUUCUAGAACCCCAUUGCACCGCAGCUGAUGCAUCACCAAGUAAUGGUCCAUUUCACCUUAAACAAGAUACAUACAUCAUGACUGUUUUUUUUUCUCCCCCCCCCGAGAGUCUCCAUAUUUACUAGCAUGACAGUACAACUUCUCCUUUUGUUAAAUUCAACCAGUUCUUGGUUAAGGAUGGAGGAAAUGAAGACAGAACAUGUUUUCAAUUCACAGAAGUUGCAGAGAGCUGCAUCAACCAGAUGAGCUUUACUACUCCGAAUGUUAGGGCUGGCAAUGCUUGUGAAUCUCACAUGGUCAAAAGGCACAGGGAGAGACAUUUCUCAAAAAUGACAGAAAAGUACUCUAGAAGACCAGCUGAAAAAUGUCACUCACUGGAUAUAGGUAGAGGUGGCACAAUGUAGAAUGUAAUACCAUCUGGAUAAUCAGCUCUUCAUGUUAUGUAAGAUUUUACCUUGGAUUUGCUGUGGAAGUAUUGACUAUACUUAACCUUGAUUAGAUUUGAUAGAUAGAUUCCUACACAGGAGAGGAUAAGCAAGAUGCUUAAAGCUUUCAAUCCCUUUAACUGCCUGUAAAGGACAGCUGAUUGAAAUUGGAAUAAUUCUCUCUCUUCUCCUGUAGUAUCUAUCAGGUAUAACAAUCAACUGUAUUUCUUAACCUUAUUCCAAGUAUUGCAAACAAAGUACAAUCGAA